rnacentral:misc_RNA from 1 species
CCCUUUAUGUUCUUCUUCCAACAUGGCAUCUAACAACACAAUAUCCAUUUCAUUUGUCAAAACUACAUUGUCUCUAACAUAUGUUGAACUUCCUUGGUUUUGAAUUUUUUUCAAUCUUGGCAUUAUUUAUUUAUAAGGCAAUUACAUAACAUGUUCCUGUUGAAGAAAAGAUAAUAAACAUAGAAUAUAAAAUCUACUGUACACAUGUACAUACAAUAAAAAUACACAUUUAACCCAAGCAUUCGAAAAAAAAAAUAUAUGAAAGCAAUUGAUUAAUACUAGAGAUUAGAAAUACUAGUCACAUAUUAAUCCUAAUUAUGAUUACAAGUUAUGUUGAUAAUCAUGCCACAUUUGUGCUGUUAUUUGUUCCUUUAACAUAACCCCUAUUCUAUACUCUGCAUUUUUUGCCAAUCCACUAGUACUGACAUGGUGAUCAACCUCAACAUGCACAAGCUCACGAUCAACUUCAGCAAUUAAAUUUUCAUCUGGAUCUACACUCAUUAAGAAGUUGUGUAUUAUACAACAGGCCAAAACAAUUUCAAUCAUUAUUUUGAAUGAGUAAUGAGGUUCAGUGCCACUAGCUAUAAUUGGAAACCUUUUCUUUAAAAUACCAAAAACUCUCUCAAUGACAUUACGGAAUGAUGCAUGAUGAUGGUUAAAUAAUUCUUUGGCAUUUCGAGGUCCACAUCUGGAGUAUUUAUUCAAAUGAUAACGAACACCCCUAUAUGGUGCAAGUAAUCCACUCCUCAAUGGUAAUCCAGCAUCCACGAGAUAAAAUUUUCCUAACAAAGGGGGGAAAAUAUGAGGUAUUGUCUUAUAAUAUAUUUAAAUGUAGAAGUUGUUCACAUUCAAUUGCACAUACCUUGAGGAAUUACAAGUUUAUCUUCCCUAACCAGCCCAUUUUUUAGGAUUCUUGAGUCAGAGGCAGUUCCUUCCCAACCAGGCAACACAUAAGUGAAUUUCAAAUCCAAAGAACAUGCUACUAAUACAUUUUGUAUAGGCCAUUCUUUUCUCCCUCGAAAUCUAGGGGCAUGUUUUUUAGGCACUUUAACUUGAAUAUGUGUUCCAUCUAAUGCACCAACACCAUCCUGUAUAGACAAGUACAUGCACCUAUAACUAUAUAAGAGUCACACUAACUAAUAAUAAUACGUAAUAUAUAUUCAUUUGACCAAAAUUUUGCUUACCUUGAAGUACAGAUAGAAUCUAUUAUUAUUCAAAAUUUGAGGGGGAACUUCAGUUUCAUUUGGUAGGCUAAGAAACUCAGCUUCUAGUGCCACUACUGCUCUUAAGACAUUAUGGAAAUGACGACUUAUUGUCUCACCUGAGCGAUGGAAAUAAAAUCCCAAUGCGCGAUUUUUAAAGUUCUGGCCUAAAAUAUGCAAGAACUUAGCUAAUUGCUCUUCCACUGUAGAGUGUCUAAAGUCUUUAAGCAAGCCAGUAGCUCUGAUCUUUCCACAAAAUUCAGCAAAUGCAACUGGACCCAUGUGUACAAUAUCACAACAAAUGACUUCAUUUGCAGUGAGCUCACUCAUUAGCUUAUUUCGUAAUGCAUCUCUUUCCACUUUUAGACUACUUAAGGGUUUGGCAAUAACCAUUGCUUGGAUGUCCAAUAACCAUAAGAGAUUCACAACAUAACGCAAUAGCUGAACUAUGGCCUCUACUCGUUGUCGUUGCCAAGUGUCCAUUAUAUGUUUCAACAUAUUCUCAAACUCUAAACUAUCAUUUGUAUCGGCUAUUGACAUAUCAUAACAUGCAUCAUCCAUGUCAUCUUCUAAGAAAUUAUCUUCACUUUGUUCCUUAUCCAUCUACAAAGUAUAAUACUAAUAUACUAUUAUUAAAAAACAAAUAAAAAGAAAAUUAUUCAAAAAAUGGAAUAAAUAGAGAAAGUGAAAAUUUUG